GCCUUCCAGAUUCCUUACUCCUUGAGAUCUAAACAUUGGUCUGAGUGGCUAUCAAAGGAGGAAAGUAAAACAAGUGGACUUGGCUUUGUUUAGUGGCAUACAAGUUCAUUUCAAACACAU
rnacentral:snoRNA from 1 species